UAACCUACGGACGCAGCAGUAGGGAAUCUUCCACAAUGGACGAAAGUCUGAUGGAGCAACGCCGCGUGAGUGAAGAAGGGUUUCGGCUCGUAAAGCUCUGUUGGUAGUGAAGAAAGAUAGAGGUAGUACUUGCCUUUAUUUGACGGUAAUUACUUAGAAUGUCACGGCUAACUACGUGCCAGCAGCCGCGGUAAUACGUAGGUGGCAAGCGUUGUCCGGAUUUUUUGGGGGUAAAGCGGGUGCAGGCGGGUUCAUAAAUCUGGUGU
rnacentral:rRNA from 1 species